rnacentral:rRNA from 1 species
GUGUGUGAAGAAGGCCUUUUGGUUGUAAAGCACUUUAAGUGGGGAGGAGGCUUACCUGGUUAAUACCUGGGCUAAGUGGACGUUACCCACAGAAUAAGCACCGGCUAACUCUGUGCCAGCAGCCGCGGUAAUACAGAGGGUGCGAGCGUUAAUCGGAUUUACUGGGCGUAAAGCGCGCGUAGGUGGUUAAUUAAGUCAAAUGUGAAAUCCCCGAGCUUAACUUGGGAAUUGCAUUCGAUACUGGUUAGCUAGAGUAUGGGAGAGGAUGGUAGAAUUCCAGGUGUAGCGGUGAAAUGCGUAGAGAUCUGGAGGAAUACCGAUGGCGAAGGCAGCCAUCUGGCCUAAUACUGACACUGAGGUGCGAAAGCAUGGGGAGCAAACAGGAUUA